rnacentral:rRNA from 1 species
UACGAAGGGGGCUAGCGUUGCUCGGAAUCACUGGGCGUAAAGCGCACGUAGGCGGAUUGCUAAGUCAGGGGUGAAAUCCCGGAGCUCAACUCCGGAACUGCCUUUGAUACUGGCGAUCUUGAGUUCGGGAGAGGUGAGUGGAACUGCGAGUGUAGAGGUGAAAUUCGUAGAUAUCAGGAGGAAUACCGAUGGCGAAGGCAGGUCUCUGGGCUGAUACUGACGCUCAUGCACGAAAGCGUGGGGAGCAAACAGG